ensembl:snRNA U6 U6 spliceosomal RNA
GCGCUCACGUCAGCAGCACAUAUACUAAAAUUGGAGCAAUACAGAGAAGAUUAAAAUGUCCCCUGCGAGAGGGUGACACACAAAUUCAUGAAGUGUUCCAUAUUUUU